rnacentral:tRNA from 1 species
AGCUUUAUGGCGCAGUGGAAGCGCGCCGGGCUCAUAACCCGGAGGUCCUCCGAUCGAAACGGAGUGAAGCUA